AAAAAGAAUUUACUUUGUUUUGAUGCUUCCUGUGUUAUUGCUUAGUUUGCAGUUAUUUUUUCUUUGGUUUUCAUCUACUGAUCGGUUUUAGGGAUCGGGGAUUGGGCUAGCACUCUUCUCCACAGUUUCAAGUUUCUAUUUGCACAAAGAACUUUCAGACAGGGUAUAACUUCUUCAGGUGAUCAGUAUGAAUGGAUUUGAUAUGGGAAGGCACUAUGUUUCACUAAAAUUCAAGAUGAAGGUGAAGGCGAUAUCUGUAUCCUUCUACACAUGCAUUUUGGAAAGUUUGAUGAUUCGCCUAUAUUUCGCCAACUGGGAUGUUCAUUCUAAAUUUUUACAUUUAUUGUCAUUAUCGUAUGUUAACAUUAUGCCAUAAAAAGCUGAAAUCAAUUUUUU